AGCAGCACAAUCUGGGAAAUUGGCUGUAGCUUGAACGACCGCUCACUGCCCUUUCUACACCGCGUGUGUUGGCCUGGUCCCUGCUGCUGGGGCACGAGCAGACCUUGUGGCCUGGGGUUUUGUGGUCCUGGGACUGACACUGGCCUGGCAAAGUCUGAACAUGGGGGGCUAGGGGCCCCACUUCAGAGAAGCUCCUGGCCUGUGCUCGAUGACAACUGGUGUAGCAGGGAGGUCUCCAGCGACGCUUCCCGGGACCGUCCUCUUCGGCAUUUUAACAAAGGACGAGCUGGCCGGCUUCCCACGCUUGUGGACAGUGAGGGGCUGGGAGCAGCAGCCGACAGGCUGGAUGGAAAAGUCAGAACCCCAAUGCUUUAAGAGGGGACAGGGAGGCCCACCUAACUGUUCUCUAGCAGCCAGGCCAUGGGGCUCUAGACCCCAGGCCAUUAGCUUCGACCCUGCCCAGUCCCAGAGAGCCACCAUAAACCUUGUUCCACGCCCCAUCAGCUCCAACAGAUGCUGAGAGAAUUGGUUGGAUCUGAGAGUGUAGACCUACCACCCUCUGUCUCUUCACCGGCAAGUGAAGUGAAGUCACUGCUGUGUGCCACUUUUCCUUUAUCUUCUGAGACCAUUCUUGGAACGUCCAUUAGAAUAUGAUUGAUGUCAUUAAGAAGCCAAAUAUAAAAGACUAUGCCAAAAAAGAUCAGCAUCAGAACAAGGAGAAAUCACAUGAUAGGCUCCAUCUUCCCUCGUCGUCAUGUCUGCAGAUUUUCCAUUGUGUAAGGAAGCUAGCCUAGCCCCAGGAGCAGAGCCAGUGAGUGUCUGCAGGUUUUCCAUUGUGUAAGGAAGCUAGCCUAACCAGGGGAUGAAAGGGGUCAGUGUCCACAGGGUUUUCCCUGCUGUAACAACUGAGAGUUUUUCGUUCCUUUGAGCCCCACUUUGAAAACUCUCUGCCUCAUAACUGCAGGGUGCGGGGCCCAGGGCCGGUUCUGCAGAGGCUGCACUCUGGAGCAGUCAGUGAUGGAGCUCAGGCUGGCCCUAAACAAUGAGGACCAGGAUCCUUGGGAUGGCCCUACCUGUGGAAUAAAUGGAUACAAAACCCACUACUGGGAGCCAGGCCUCAUAUCAGGUGUUUGUCAGGUGCGUCUGUUUGAAGAGGAGGAGUGGGAUUCUGGAAGGGGCAGCCCAGCCAAGGAAAUGCCCUGUCUUUGAUGCCAGGAGCAUUGGGAUUUGCAUCUGCUCCUGCAUAGCUGGGGCGUUUCCAGAAUCGAGGGUGGAGAGAAGCAAAAUGGACACCAGCCUGGCGGCCUGACCCUUCAGGGAGCCUGGAACACCGCCCAGAGAAGUUCCAAGGGCUGGACAGGCCAUAGGGAGUGGUGGGCACCGGGCCGUUCUGACCAUGCAAACAGCAACACCUGCGGUCCCACCUGCUGCACGGUCCCCACGGGAAGCGCUCUGAUGGGAAGCUGUGAUGGGUGCUCCUAGGAAGGCCUCCCCCGUCACGGUGGGCCUGGGCCUAAGGAUGUGAGGCCUCUGCCAUGUGUCCCCAUAUGUAAGAGGGGUAAGUGACACCACUAGCCUUGUUCCUGCCCAGGGCCCUCAGCCUGCUUGUCCCCUGGUGACUGUGAGGGUAGAGGAGCCCACCUCAACCAAAUAUUUGGACAAACAAAAAGUCUGAAUAUUCAAAGAGCCACUUAACAUCUUAAAUUUGCCAUCAGUUGCCCACUGAGCAGCUAUUGCAGACUGGUGGCUUUCUGAGAUGCCAUGUGAUACAGUUUGGCUGUGUCCCCACCCAAACCUCAUCUUGAAUUGUAGUUCCCAUAAUCCCCACAUGUCAUGGGAGGGACCCAGUGGGAGGCAGUUGAAUCAUAGGGGCGGUUACCCCCAUGCUGCUGUUCUCGUGAGAGUGGGUGAAUUCUCAUGAGAUCUGAUGGUUUUAUAAUGGCUUUUGCCACUUUUGCUCAGCACAUCUCCUUCCUGCAAUCAUGCGAAGAAGGACGUUUCCUUCCCCUUCUGCCAUUGGUAUCGUGCAGCAGUUUUUGGUGUUACUGACGACCAGCUCUGACGAGAGUCUUCGGUUUCUUAGCUUCAGGCUGGACUUCAACGAGCAUUACAAAGCCAGGGAGCCCAGGCUCCGCGUGUCUCUGGGUACCAGGGGGCGGCGCAGCUCCCACACGUGAAGCUCGCGGUCCUCCCAGGGAGCUGCGGGUGAUGUUCGUUGCACUGCUAGACACGAAAUUCCCAUUGACGUCCUGCAGGAACUGCAUGCUGCAGGUGUCCUGCCCUUCCGCCCACGAGUGCGCCAUGUUUCAGCGGAGCGGCGUGUGGGAGAAGCCACGUCGUGUUGCACACGUCGGAGUUGAAUGCAUUUGUAAAUCACUAAGUCAAGUAGGCUGGCUGCACUGUUCACAUUUGUCUCUAAAAGUCUUCAUCCCCAAAAGAUACCAUAAUUUGCUGAGGCUUCUGAAUCUUAAGUGCUCUAAGUUAUAACUUAUAUUUGUCACUUUAAAAGAACUGUUUGUUUAGCAAAAUCUACAGCAAGGGUAUAUUUAUAAAGUGAUAAUGUCAUUGCUGUUAUUUAGCAUCCUCUUCAGAAACUUUUUUUUGCAAUAUUAUUAGAUUAAACUGAAAUACAUAGAAAAUAUAGAGAGCAUUUUAUUAUCUUGGUAUUCAAGGUUGUAAAGUGUGAAAAUUUUUGUAUCUUACAUAUAUCUAUUCUUUUCUCUCUCCUUUCAAGGUUUACACUUACAGAUUUAAUUUACUAUUCUAGAUAACUUCUAAAAUAGUACAGAACACGAGUAGGAGUGUUGUGGAACAAAAACAUCCUUAAACUUAAAUUUCUUGACGCCACCAGCUGAAGCAGUGUGGCAACAGGAAUGACUAGAAAGUUAACAAAGUAUUUUAUUUUUACAAUUUUGAUGAGCAUUAUAAAGAAAUCGAUUUGGAUAAUGAAGGUUUCUUUUUUCUUUGACUAAUUUUUCCUUGUAAAUAUUUAUAUACUAUUGACCAGAUGCUGGGGAGAACGGUGUCUGUAAAAAGUCACGUCAUAUCAGCUUGCCUUUAUUAUGCUGUAUAAGUGAAAACUUAGAAAACUGAAAGCAAUUAUCUUUCAAAGCAUUGGCUGUUUUUUGAAUAGUCUAUUAAGUGACAGUUCAUUUGCCAGGGGGGCGGGGAUUGACAGGAUUUGAUUUAAUGUAGUACAGCAUAUGAAUUAUUUAAUCAUAAUUAGAAACCAAGAAAUUAGAUUUUGUGUGACUUUCGGUGUAGAAGCAAACGCAAUGUCACCACUCAGGUCUCAGGAGCGGUGCUUUAGUUAUCUGAAUCUGCCUCUGACUCCUUUAGGUGUGGAUUCCCUUUAAAACUAAAGGGGCCAUCAAGAAUCCUGGCCAUGCAGAAAUGAUUCCAUGGCAAAGGCCAGAAAUUCUUAGGAUAAAAACUUAAUUUAAUUUUAGUUUUCAAGUUCAUAAAAUCAGAAAUUUGAAACAGAUUUCUCCACUGCAAGUUGUCCUAGAAAUUAUGGCGUAUUGUGUAUCUCCGAGAGAGGUUUACCAAGGUUAUUAACCAUGCAGCCAGCUUUUAUUUUAUUUUAUUCAGAGAGUUGUUCCAGGGAUUAAUCCUCGGUAGAAACCACCCUAGCAAAGGCCCACCUCGAUUUUAGGGAUUACGACUCCAUUGGAGUGUAGGAGUCACCAGGACUUAGGUCAGAUCUGUGGGCUAUGGAGGGCUUCCGGGAGGUGCGGCCCUGGGGGGUGCCUGCGGGUCUGGAGGGUGGGAGCUGGGAUGGGGUGAGGCCUCUGAGGAGCUGCGUGAGACCCACUCUCCGUCAUUGUGGGUGCACAAUCAGGCCCCUUAGGGAGCCAGGGCCCCAAAACCCAGCAUCAGCCAAGCAUGGAUGACUUGGGGGUUCCACACUGGGGUUGUGCGUAAAGGAGAGCUCCUCUCAGGGGUGGGUGCGCCCGGCCCGGGGGUGCCACGUCUUCACCCAGAAAACGAGGCCGAGUCUGCAGGGGCCCUGCUGCAUGGAUGGAGGUGUGGGUGGUUGGUAGGACCCCAGGC
rnacentral:lncRNA from 1 species